AUGAACGCUAGCUACAGGCUUAACACAUGCAAGUCGAGGGGCAGCAUGGUCUUAGCUUGCUAAGGCCGAUGGCGACCGGCGCACGGGUGAGUAACACGUAUCCAACCUGCCGUCUACUCUUGGACAGCCUUCUGAAAGGAAGAUUAAUACAAGAUGGCAUCAUGAGUCCGCAUGUUCACAUGAUUAAAGGUAUUCCGGUAGACGAUGGGGAUGCGUUCCAUUAGAUAGUAGGCGGGGUAACGGCCCACCUAGUCUUCGAUGGAUAGGGGUUCUGAGAGGAAGGUCCCCCACAUUGGAACUGAGACACGGUCCAAACUCCUACGGGAGGCAGCAGUGAGGAAUAUUGGUCAAUGGGCGAGAGCCUGAACCAGCCAAGUAGCGUGAAGGAUGACUGCCCUAUGGGUUGUAAACUUCUUUUAUAAAGGAAUAAAGUCGGGUAUGGAUACCCGUUUGCAUGUACUUUAUGAAUAAGGAUCGGCUAACUCCGUGCCAGCAGCCGCGGUAAUACGGAGGAUUCGAGCGUUAUCCGGAUUUAUUGGGUUUAAAGGGAGCGUAGAUGGAUGUUUAAGUCAGUUGUGAAAGUUUGCGGCUCAACCGUAAAAUUGCAGUUGAUACUGGAUAUCUUGAGUGCAGUUGAGGCAGGCGGAAUUCGUGGUGUAGCGGUGAAAUGCUUAGAUAUCGCGAAGAACUCCGAUUGCGAAGGCAGCCUGCUAAGCUGCAACUGACAUUGAGGCUCGAAAGUGUGGGUAUCAAACAGGAUUAGAUACCCUGGUAGUCCACACGGUAAACGAUGAAUACUCGCUGUUUGCGAUAUACGGCAAGCGGCCAAGCGAAAGCGUUAAGUAUUCCACCUGGGGAGUACGCCGGCAACGGUGAAACUCAAAGGAAUUGACGGGGGCCCGCACAAGCGGAGGAACAUGUGGUUUAAUUCGAUGAUACGCGAGGAACCUUACCCGGGCUUAAAUUGCAGAUGAAUUACGGUGAAAGCCGUAAGCCGCAAGGCAUCUGUGAAGGUGCUGCAUGGUUGUCGUCAGCUCGUGCCGUGAGGUGUCGGCUUAAGUGCCAUAACGAGCGCAACCCUUGUUGUCAGUUACUAACAGGUUCUGCUGAGGACUCUGACAAGACUGCCAUCGUAAGAUGUGAGGAAGGUGGGGAUGACGUCAAAUCAGCACGGCCCUUACGUCCGGGGCUACACACGUGUUACAAUGGGGGGUACAGAGGGCCGCUACCACGCGAGUGGAUGCCAAUCCCCAAAACCUCUCUCAGUUCGGACUGGAGUCUGCAACCCGACUCCACGAAGCUGGAUUCGCUAGUAAUCGCGCAUCAGCCACGGCGCGGUGAAUACGUUCCCGGGCCUUGUACACACCGCCCGUCAAGCCAUGGGAGCCGGGGGUACCUGAAGUGCGUAACCGCGAGGAGCGCCCUAGGGUAAAACUGGUGACUGGGGCU
rnacentral:rRNA from 1 species